GUGGAUCUCUGUGAGUUCGAGGCCAGCCUGGUCUCCAGAGCGAGUGCCAGGAUAGGCUCCAAAGCUACACAGAGAAACCCUGUCUCGAAAAACCAAAAAAAAAAAAAAAAAAAAAAAAGACCCUAAGGAAGACAAUGUGGGUGCUGGGAACUGAACCCCCUUCUUCUGAAGGACAGCUAUGCUCUCUCAUUGCUGGGCCAUCUCCCUAGCCCCUUUACUUUUCCUUUGGUUUAUUUGGGGGGGAUGUUUGUUUGGUUUUGAGAUAGGGUCUCUCUGUGUAGGUCUGGCUGUGCUGGAACUUGCUAUGUAGACUAGGUUGGCCUAGAACUCAUUUUUCCUUGCCUCCUUUCAGAGUGCUGGGAUUAACGGCAUGUGCCAUCGUGCCCAGCUCAGCCCCUUUGUUUCAAUUUGUGUAUUUAUAUUUAGAGGGUUUUUGUUGUUCCUGCUCACUGCUGUUGUUUUACAGAAAGUGAACCUAGGUCCUCAUGCACGCCAGGCAAAGGGUCUUAUACUGAGAUUGAUCCAGGCCCCCAGAGUUGUUUGUAAGUAGCAAACAGUAAGACUUUGUGUUUCUCUUUAGAACUCCUAUGCUUUAAAUUAGCUUUUAUAAAACAAUCAACAUGACUUCAAGCUACCAUUUGCUGUUUUUCUUCUAUUUAUCCCUUAUUUGUACUUAUCUUCUUUUGGAUGAAUUUAGUAUUUUUACAUGAUUUCAUAUUUUUUCCACUUUAUGCUACAGGCCGAUCUGACCUCUCUAUGCAGAUCAGGCUGGUCUUGAACUCACAAGUGCUGAGAUUAGGACCUACACCACCCUACCUAGCCAGGUUAUAUUCUUUUGUUUUAAUAGUUUAGCCAAGAUUUACAAUAUACCCCUUAACUUAUCAUUACCUUUAAACAAUGCCAUUCUUAUACUCUGUGUAGAGUGAAAGACAUAAUGAUUUACCUAUGUGACUCCCUUCUUUAAAAGUAUGUGUGAUGGCUUUCAGGUCUUGGCUCCAAGAUGACAAAAAAAAAAAAAAAAAAAAAAAAAAAAAAAAGAUGAAACAACGGGGGUGAAAAAAAAAAAAAAAAAAGGCUGAGGCCUUGUGUAGCCAAUUUGCUGCAUGAACUGUGCCCAGUGCAUGCCCAAGGACAAGGCCAUUAAGAAGUUGGCCAUUCAGAACACUUUAGAGGCAGCUCCUGUCAGGGACAUAUCCAAAGCAAAUGUCUUGGACACCUAUGUGCUUCCCAAACUCUAUGUCAAGCUGCAUUACUGUGUGAGCUGUGCUAUUCAUAGCAAAGUAGUCAGGAAUGGAUCUCCAGAAGCCUGGAAGGACUGAACACCUCCACCACAAUUUAGACCUGCUGGUGCUGCAUCACAACCUCCACCAAAGCCCAUGGAAAGAGAUGGCUUCAUGAAGACAGAAGAAAAAACAUCUUGGAAAAAUAAAAUGGGACUUUAUGUAGCAUUUGAAAAAAAAGUAUGUGUGGUGAUAUAUUAUUUAUGAUCUAAUAUAGCUUGCCUGGAGAUCAGAAUGCAAAGCUAGCCACAGCCAAACAAGCUGGGGCAGUGGUGGCACACACCUUUAAUCCCAGGGCUCAGGAGACAAAGACAGAUAGAUCUCUGGGAGUUCAAGGCCACCCAGGACUACAUGAGAGUGAAUCAGGCUAAAAGAGAAACAGAGCUCAUGCCUUUAAUCCCAGCACUAGAGAGGUCUAUAAGACAGGAAGGAGCAGGGUCUCAGAGCUGGCCGUCAGUCUUGGCAUUCAGUCUUAGGCAAUUAGUCUCCAGACACAUUGGGAGAUUUAGUUUCUAGGUACACAGAAGCCAGGAUCUCCAUCUGCCCUUGUAGAGGUAGGAGCUACUACUGGUUGGCUGCUUUGCUUCUCUGAUCUUCAGCUUGAACCCCAGUAUCUGUCUCUGGGUUGUUAUUAUUUGUGUUAUAAGAAUGUGCUGUUGUGGGGCUGGAGAGAUGGCUCAGUGGUUAAGAGCACUGACUGCUUUUCCAGAGGUCCUGAGUUCAAUUCCCGGCAACCACAUGGUGGCUCACAGCCAUCUGUUAUGAGAUCUGGUGCCCUCUUCUGGUGUGCAGAUAUACAUGGAAGCAGAAUGUUGUACACAUAAUAAAUAAAAUCUUUUAAAAAAAAUGGAUUUCAUAGCAAUGUGUUUUCAGCCUUGUCUCAAAAUAUGUUAGUGACAUAUAUAAAUGUGAUUCUUAUUUUUUUUAAAAAAAAGAAUGUGCUGUUGUAAUUGGUUUAACUUUAUUUCACUUUUCUCUGUUAUAAACCCACAAUGACUUAUCAUUGCUACAAAGAACUGGUUAUACUUAAGAUAGAUAUUUAAUGCAGAGAAGGCAGCUUUCCUUGACCUUUAAUUGGUUGAGUGGCUGGUCCAAGGAAUGCAGGUGUGACCUCUCUGCUACUGUUUGGGGUGGGGGUACUUCUAUUGUAAGUGUCACACCGUCCUCGAGUCCCCAGAGCUUCACUCUAGGUACUAUACGCUCUUGGUCACUGCCUAUCUGGUAGACGGGGCUGGCCUAGCGCCACAGAUGGCUUCCUUCUCAGCUUGUCUUACAGAUGUCUGCUGUGACUUCAAGUUCCUUUGGAGAUUAUGGGACAGGGCCUCCUGUCGGAGGUAGCUCGUGCUUACUCUGCUCUUUCUAUGCUCGGACAUGAGACUGUGUCUUCUAUGUGUUUUCUCUUAAUUCUCUCUGCAGCUCACAAGGGAGAUAGAGCUGCUUUCCCCCUUGAGAUAGAGCUGCUUUCCCCCUUUUCAGACUGAGAUGAGAGCAAACUGGAAUGGGCCUCACUUCUCGCUAUUCCGAAUGCCAGUUUGGUGUGACUAAAGCACACAUUCUGCCAACUAGUGCCAUCAAGGUUGAGAGCACUAGACUGGGAGGCGGGGCCUUGGGUUCUCAGUCCAGCUUUUCUAAUUCUCUUUUCUCUCUUUCCACUUUAAUUAUGUGUGUGUGUGUCUAUGUGUGCGCACAUGAGUGUAGGUGCCUGUGGAGGCCAGAAACAUCAGAUCAUCCCAAAGCUGGCAUUAGGUGCAGUUGUGAGCUUCUUGACACGGGUGAUGGGAGCUGAACUUGAAACCUCUAGAAGAGCAUUGUGUGUGCUCUGAGCCAUCAAUUCAUC
rnacentral:lncRNA from 1 species